AGAGUUUGAUUAUGGCUCAGAUUGAACGCUGGCGGCAUGCUUAAUACAUGCAAGUCGAACGGUAACAGGCCCGCAAGGGUGCUGACGAGUGGCGGACGGGUGCGUAAUACAUAGGAAUCUGCCUAAUAGUGGGGGACAACCUAGGGAAACUUAAGCUAAUACCGCAUACGCCCUACGGGGAAAGCGGGGGAUCGUAAGACCUCGCGCUACUAGAUGAGCCUAUGUCCGAUUAGCUUGUUGGUGGGGUAAUGGCCUACCAAGGCGACGAUCGGUAGCUGGUCUGAGAGGACGAUCAGCCACACUGGGACUGAGACACGGCCCAGACUCCUACGGGAGGCAGCAGUAGGGAAUAUUGGACAAUGGGCGAAAGCCUGAUCCAGCAAUGCCGCGUGUGUGAAGAAGGCCUGCGGGUUGUAAAGCACUUUCGGUUGGGAAGAAAAGCUAAUGGCUAAUAUCCAUUAGUAUUGACGUUACCAAAAUAAGAAGCACCGGCUAACUCUGUGCCAGCAGCCGCGGUAAUACAGAGGGUGCAAGCGUUAAUCGGAAUUACUGGGCGUAAAGCGUGCGUAGGCGGCUAAGUGAGUCGGAAUGUGAAAGCCCUGGGCUUAACCUGGGNAACUGCAUUCGAUACUGCUUGGCUAGAGUAUGGGGAGAGGGCAACGGAAUUCCAUGUGUAGCGGUGAAAUUGCGUANAUAUAUGNAGNACNUCAGUGGCCNAAGGCGGUNGCCUGGCUUAAUACUGACNUUA
rnacentral:rRNA from 1 species